UACGUAGGGUGCAAGCGUUAAUCGGAAUUACUGGGCGUAAAGCGUGCGCAGGCGGUUAUGCAAGACAGAUGUGAAAUCCCCGGGCUCAACCUGGGAACUGCAUUGUGACUGCAUGGCUGGAGUGCGGCAGAGGGGGAUGGAAUUCCAGCGUGUAGCAGUGAAAUGCGUAGAGAUGUGGAGGAACACCGAUGGCGAAGGCAGCCUCCUGGGAUAACACUGACGCUCAUGCACGAAAGCGUGGGGAGCAAACAGG
rnacentral:rRNA from 1 species